GACCCAGACACUGGGCAAGAUGGGGCACUUUUUAUGUUUACUCGUCAUGACUUUAUUGCUACAUAGAGGCUGUUUUGCUGCUGAGGUUAAACAGACCCCACUUUUCAAGAUUCCAUCUUUGGGAGAGAAUGUGUCACUGAUAUGUUCACACGAAGACAGCAGCUUCAUCUACAAAUACUGGUACCGACAGGAGAAAGGAAAGGCGCUGGUGUUUAUUGGACAGAUGUACAGAGAAACAGUUACCAUGGAUACUCCUGUAGAGAACAAGAUGUCCAUCAAGCCAGAUGGUUUUAUGAAGAGUCUUUUAACGAUUCAUAAUUUUAUGGUUGAGGAUAGUGCAGUUUAUUACUGUGCCAGCAGCAUCCACAGUGAGAUGAUUGCAUAG